rnacentral:antisense_RNA from 1 species
CUUGGCACGACCCAGGUUCCACGCUACAGGCCUCUACUUGUCCAGACCUGAGGGUCAGAUUCAGAUGGUGCAAAUGUUUAAGACCUGGGUCUUCACCCAGAUGAAUUAUCAGCUAUUUCUUAGCUGCAGUGUUGGAUAUGCCCAGACGAUAAAAGCAACAGCAAUCAGAAUCAACAGUUGAAACGACAUGGCAGACACUGUGAAUGCUAUGAACUGCUGUGCUGAGCAGCAGGAUUCCUGUGAUCUGGCGCAAUGCCCAUGGGGAUUCAUGCUUUCAGAGGGUCACGCCUCAGGAACAUGCAGAAGGGCAAGCAUUUCAUCCGGCAGGGCACUGAUUUAAUCUGCACGCAUGUUUGGCUGUAAAACUAGCUCCUCCCCCUUACCAUUUUUGAGUCGCUGCCGGACUCAAAUUCCACAGAUUUUGGAAGGUGUCCAGGAACUCGUUGAUUACUCAAACUUAUGGCUACACACAGCUGGAAUGGAGACGGACUCCACUGAGGAGACUCACACAGGACAGGAGGGAAUUUUAGGAGGAUAACCCUGAGAUUGAAAACAUCAAACCAAACCUGAAGCACUGAGAGGUUGGGUAACCAGCUCUGGUCACUGAGUUGGUGAGGGAUGGAUUCAGAAGAGGUCUCCAAUUGUGACACCGCAGAGGACCUGCUCUUGGCCACCACACUCUGCCAGCUCUGCAAGAAGCACUUCCACACUUUUCAUCUCAGAGCCACGGAGCCUAUGUGUGUGGCUGAGGUGCUCAGACUGGCAGGUGAAAUGACUUCAUUAGUGCCCU